rnacentral:rRNA from 1 species
CCCUUAGAUGCUCUGGGCCGCACGCGCGCUACACUGACAUGUUCAACAAGUUUCUCCUAGUUCGACAGGACUGGGAAAUCUUUGAACGCAUGUCGUGAUAGGGAUAGAUCAUUGCAAUUAUUGAUCUUGAACGAGGAAUUCCUAGUAAACGCGAGUCAUCAGCUCGCAUUGAUUACGUCCCUGCCCUUUGUACACACCGCCCGUCGCACCUACCGAUUGAAUGUUUCGGUGAAGAUUCCGGAUAGGACUGAUUUGAUUUAUUUCAUUUCUGACCUAAAAGCUAUCUAAACCUCAACAUUUAGAGGAAGGUGAAGUCGUAACA